UACGUAGGGGGCAAGCGUUGUCCGGAAUCAUUGGGUGUAAAGAGCUCGUAGGCGGUUCGUCGCGUCGGCUGUGAAAUCCCGAGGCUCAACCUCGGGUCUGCAGUCGAUACGGGCGGACUGGAGUUCGGCAGGGGAGACUGGAAUUCCUGGUGUAGCGGUGAAAUGCGCAGAUAUCAGGAGGAACACCGGUGGCGAAGGCGGGUCUCUGGGCCGAUACUGACGCUGAGGAGCGAAAGCGUGGGGAGCGAACAGG
rnacentral:rRNA from 1 species